GGCCAAGGAGCAAGACCCCGGGAAUCGCCACCCAGGCCUCGCAUUCAACUGCCGCCAGGCUCCCGGGUCAGGCCGGUGCCUGCCGCAGCCUCUCCAUCGCCGUCCCCGCCCUGUGGGGGGCGGAGGUUUGCAGGACCGACUGCGAGGCUGCCUGCAGGCGGGAAGACGCAAGUACAGACAAAGCCGACAAGAUCACUGCAAACUGCAACAAGCGUUGCCAUAGCAAACAAGUGCAACGCUUGCGGGAGCCUCGGUUACGGAGCACGUUGGCUCAUGUAGUCUCGCGAGCCAAUGAUAUCCAGCAGCAUACCGGGUGCCAAGGAGAUGACGGAAACUGGAUUAGGACCCAAAUCAGUUUCUGCAUCUGUCAACUAGGAGGGAAUACAUCCUGGGCUGCUAAUUAAUCAAUGUGUUAAAAAGCACAUGGGACAAAGGAUGGGAGCAGCUUUGCCAGCUAGAGCCAGUGAAGGGCACAGUCCUUCACCACUCUCUCCAGUGACACUGCAUUAUCUCCUUGGAAGGCAAAGAGAACUGACAGUUGGGAGAAGGUCAAGGACUAUGCAAUGGCUACCAUGGAGUGCUGUUGGCUAGAGAUGGAAGUUUUCCCUGGCUAUACAGCUCAACUGGAAGGAUGAAAGUUGGCAAAUCCAGAGACUUUUGUCACUGGUUAUGGAUAUUGGACUUGAACUGCAUAUGUUUCAUACUUACCUGUUAUUAGUUUUGCAUUGGUCCCUCUUUGUUAUGCCUUAAAGCAAUAAAAAAGUUUACUCUGUGCCAUUA